rnacentral:rRNA from 1 species
CGGGUGAGUAACACGUGGAUAACCUACCUAUAAGACUGGGAUAACUUCGGGAAACCGGAGCUAAUACCGGAUAAUAUUUUGAACCGCAUGGUUCAAAAGUGAAAGACGGUCUUGCUGUCACUUAUAGAUGGAUCCGCGCUGCAUUAGCUAGUUGGUAAGGUAACGGCUUACCAAGGCAACGAUACGUAGCCGACCUGAGAGGGUGAUCGGCCACACUGGAACUGAGACACGGUCCAGACUCCUACGGGAGGCAGCAGUAGGGAAUCUUCCGCAAUGGGCGAAAGCCUGACGGAGCAACGCCGCGUGAGUGAUGAAGGUCUUCGGAUCGUAAAACUCUGUUAUUAGGGAAGAACAUAUGUGUAAGUAACUGUGCACAUCUUGACGGUACCUAAUCAGAAAGCCACGGCUAACUACGUGCCAGCAGCCGCGGUAAUACGUAGGUGGCAAGCGUUAUCCGGAAUUAUUGGGCGUAAAGCGCGCGUAGGCGGUUUUUUAAGUCUGAUGUGAAAGCCCACGGCUCAACCGUGGAGGGUCAUUGGAAACUGGAAAACUUGAGUGCAGAAGAGGAAAGUGGAAUUCCAUGUGUAGCGGUGAAAUGCGCAGAGAUAUGGAGGAACACCAGUGGCGAAGGCGACUUUCUGGUCUGUAACUGACGCUGAUGUGCGAAAGCGUGGGGAUCAAACAGGAUUAGAUACCCUGGUAGUCCACGCCGUAAACGAUGA